ACUCAAAGGAAUAGACGGGGGCCCGCACAAGCGGUGGAGCAUGUGGUUCAAUUCGAAGCAACGCGAAGAACCUUACCAGCUUUUGACAUCCCGGUCGCGGGCACCAGAAAUGGAGCCUUUCAGUUAGGCUGGACCGGAGACAGGUGCUGCAUGGCUGUCGUCAGCUCGUGUCGUGAGAUGUUGGGUUAAGUCCCGCAACGAGCGCAACCCUCGCCUUUAGUUGCCAUCAUUUAGUUGGGCACUCUAAGGGGACUGCCGGUGAUAAGCCGCGAGGAAGGUGGGGAUGACGUCAAGUCCUCAUGGCCCUUACAGGCUGGGCUACACACGUGCUACAAUGGCGGUGACAAUGGGACGCAAUGGGGAGACCCUGCGCAAAUCUCAAAAAGCCGUCUCAGUUCGGAUUGUGCUCUGCAACUCGAGCACAUGAAGUUGGAAUCGCUAGUAAUCGCAGAUCAGCACGCUGCGGUGAAUACGUUCCCGGGCCUUGUACACACCGCCCGU
rnacentral:rRNA from 1 species